AUGUAAGAAUUUAAAGGUCGAACAGACCUAUAUAUUAAGCGGCUACACCUAAUUAUUAUCUUAAUCCAACAUCGAGGUCGCAAGCCUUCCCGUAAAUAUGAACUCUGGAGGAAGAUUACGCUGUUAUCCCUAAGGUAACUUAAUCUAACAAUCAAUAAUAAUGGAUCUAAUAUUCAUAAAUCAAUGUUAAUUUAAAUAAAAAAGUUAAUUAUAUAUUUUUGUCACCCCAACAAAAUAAUUAAAACAAUAAUAAUAAAUGAUAUAACAAAAAAUAAUUAAUGCAUCAAUUAUAAAGCUCUAUAGGGUCUUCUCGUCUUCCAAUAUAAUUUCAGCCUUUUGACUGAAAAGUUAAAUUCUAAAUACAAAUUAAAUGAGACAGUCAACACCUCGUCAAACCCUUCAUACCAGCCCCCUAUUAAAAGACUAAUGAUUAUGCUACCUUUGCACAGUCAAAAUACUGCGGCCGUUAAAAUAAUUUUCACCGGGCAGGUCAGACCUCAUAUAUAAACAAGAGGCCAUGUUUUUGAUAAACAGGCGAGUGUUAAAAUUGCCGAAUUCCUUAUUUAAUUAUAUCAAAAAAUAAAUGAUAAACAACAAACAAAUAUACUAAUUUAAUCAUUAUUACAAAUUUUAUAAAAUUAAAAAUAUCAUUUUAAUAAAAUACUAAAAUAAAGAAAAUCAUAAAUUUCACUUAUUUGAACUACAACGAACUCUUUAAUGAUAGCUGAUUUAAAGCCUACAAAAAUUAAAUAAAAUAAAAUUUCUAGAAUAAUAUUAGAGCUUAUCCCCUAAUAUCUUAAUCUCAAUUAAUAAGUAAUUAAUAAAUAAAUUACUUAAAAAUUAAAGUCUAAAUUAAAUUUACUUCUUAAAAAACU
rnacentral:rRNA from 1 species